UUAGCUAUGGGAGAAAGACGAGUUCCACUUGGGCACUUCUCUGUCUUCGCUAAUCAUCAGAAGGGAGGGGGAAAAAAAAAGGCAGAGAGCGGGUGGCCAAAGUCAUCCCCUCUAAAAAACCACAAACUCGCCAAAAUCGUGGGUUAACAGAGCCGUGGGCAGAAACGUUACUUUGUUUUGAAGCAAGCGGAGCUGGCCUUUUAACGGAGGGGCGGGCUGAGCAAGCAGAGGCGCCAAGCCCCGUGUGUGCUCACAGGGCUCGCCCGCAGCGUGAGGAGAACCAACCAGUCCCUCUGGCGGAGAGAGGCAAGGCCAGUGACCGACGUGGAACCCGGAACGCGCUCAGGCCUGAGAGGCGGAAGCUUCAUACCUUAAGAUUCACCCUCCAACCUCCCGGGACCAAACCAGGAUUCCGCGCCCUAGAGCGUAGGGCUCCCGUCGGCCACCGUACUGGACUGAGGGGACCGCUGGCUGCGAAAGGAAACCCAGAGGCGUCGGCGUCGCGGCGACGGUGCGCGUGCGCGUGCGCGUGCGCGGCCCCACCCCUUCCUCCCCGCCGUUGCCCCGCGUAACUACAUCCCCUCCCUCGUUGACAACGGAGCUUCCAGGGUCUUCGGCGAAGCGCGCCCGCCGUCUGUGUCCCUUUUCGAUUGAGCGCUUAAGCUCCUCCAAGCUGAAGUUUCGCUACCCCGGGAUUUUUGUAGCACUUGAAUAAGCCAAUUCCUGGUUCAAUCUGUGUGCAUUUAGCACCUUCUGUUUACCAGAUACCGUGCUACAAGCUGGAAACAAAUAUCUUACAGAGCUAGAACUUCAUACCAUAUAGUUUCCAAGGCUUUCACAGAGUGAUAAUCUUCUAAUAAAGUGUGCUUUCAGCAUUAAAAAUCAGCAAAGGAGGGAUCCCUGGGUGGCGGAGCGGUUUAGCGCCUACCUUUGGCCCAGGGCGCGAUCCUGGAGACCCAGAAUCGAAUCCCACGUCGGGCUCCCAGUGCAUGGAGCCUGCU